AGGAUGAGUGCUAGUGUUGGAGGGUUUCCGCCCUUCAGUGCUGCAGCAAACGCAUUAAGCACUCCGCCUGGGGAGUACGACCGCAAGGUUGAAACUCAAAGGAAUUGACGGGGGCCCGCACAAGCGGUGGAGCAUGUGGUUUAAUUCGAAGCAACGCGAAGAACCUUACCAGGUCUUGACAUCCUUUGACCACUCUAGAGAUAGAGCUUUCCCUUCGGGGACAAAGUGACAGGUGGUGCAUGGUUGUCGUCAGCUCGUGUCGUGAGAUGUUGGGUUAAGUCCCGCAACGAGCGCAACCCUUAUUGUUAGUUGCCAUCAUUUAGUUGGGCACUCUAGCGAGACUGCCGGUGACAAACCGGAGGAAGGUGGGGAUGACGUCAAAUCAUCAUGCCCCUUAUGACCUGGGCUACACACGUGCUACAAUGGGAAGUACAACGAGUCGCUAGACCGCGAGGUCAUGCAAAUCUCUUAAAGCUUCUCUCAGUUCGGAUUGCAGGCUGCAACUCGCCUGCAUGAAGCCGGAAUCGCUAGUAAUCGCGGAUCAGCACGCCGCGGUGAAUACGUUCCCGGGCCUUGUACACACCGCCCGUCACACCACGAGAGUUUGUAACACCCGAAGUCGGUGAGGUAACCUUUUUGGAGCCAGCCGCCUAAGGUGGGAUAGAUGAUUGGGGUGAAGUCGUACAAGGGUAACCGA
rnacentral:rRNA from 1 species